rnacentral:tRNA from 1 species
GUCUGUGAAGUGUAGUGGUCGCACGCGGGUCUCCAAAACCUUGAAGAGUGAGUUCGAUUCUCACCACAUUCGCCA